rnacentral:hammerhead_ribozyme from 1 species
AUCCAGCUGACGAGUCCCAAAUAGAACGAAACGUGCGUUGUCGAU